UCGGGAAUUUUGGGCAAUGGGCGAAAGCCUGACCCAGCAACGCCGCGUGAGGGAUGAAGUAUUUCGGUAUGUAAACCUCGAAAGAAUGGGAAGAAUAAAUGACGGUACCAUUUAUAAGCUCCGGCUAACUACGUGCCAGCAGCCGCGGUAAUACGUAGGGAGCAAGCGUUGUUCGGAUUUACUGGGCGUAAAGGGCGCGUAGGCGGCGCGGUAAGUCACUUGUGAAAUCUCUGAGCUUAACUCAGAACGGCCAAGUGAUACUGCUGUGCUAGAGUGCGGAAGAGGCAACCGGAAUUCUUGGUGUAGCGGUGAAAUGCGUAGAUAUCAAGAGGAACACCUGAGGCGAAGGCGGGUUGCUGGGCUGACACUGACGCUGAUGCGCGAAAGCCAGGGGAGCAAACG
rnacentral:rRNA from 1 species